rnacentral:rRNA from 1 species
AUGAACGCUGGCGGCGUGCCUAAUACAUGCAAGUCGAGCGAACAGACGAGGAGCUUGCUCCUCUGACGUUAGCGGCGGACGGGUGAGUAACACGUGGAUAGCCUACCUAUAAGACUGGGAUAACUUCGGGAAACCGGAGCUAAUACCGGAUAAUAUAUUGAACCGCAUGGUUCAAUAGUGAAAGACGGUUUUGCUGUCACUUAUAGAUGGAUCCGCGCCGCAUUAGCUAGUUGGUAAGGUAACGGCUUACCAAGGCAACGAUGCGUAGCCGACCUGAGAGGGUGAUCGGCCACACUGGAACUGAGACACGGUCCAGACUCCUACGGGAGGCAGCAGUAGGGAAUCUUCCGCAAUGGGCGAAAGCCUGACGGAGCAACGCCGCGUGAGUGAUGAAGGUCUUCGGAUCGUAAAACUCUGUUAUUAGGGAAGAACAAAUGUGUAAGUAACUUUGCACGUCUUGACGGUACCUAAUCAGAAAGCCACAGCUAACUACGUG